ACGCACGCUGGCGGCGUGCCUAAUACAUGCAAGUAGCACGCUGAAGGCGGAGCUUGCUUCUCUGGAUGAGUUGCGAACGGGUGAGUAACGCGUAGGUAACCUGCCUGGUAGCGGGGGAUAACUAUUGGAAACGAUAGCUAAUACCGCAUAAGAGUAGAUGUUGCAUGACAUUUGCUUAAAAGGUGCAAUUGCAUCACUACCAGAUGGACCUGCGUUGUAUUAGCUAGUUGGUGGGGUAACGGCUCACCAAGGCGACGAUACAUAGCCGACCUGAGAGGGUGAUCGGCCACACUGGGACUGAGACACGGCCCAGACUCCUACGGGAGGCAGCAGUAGGGAAUCUUCGGCAAUGGACGGAAGUCUGACCGAGCAACGCCGCGUGAGUGAAGAAGGGUUUCGGAUCGUAAAGCUCUGUUGUAAGAGAAGAACGAGUGUGAGAGUGGAAAGUUCACACUGUGACGGUAUCUUACCAGAAAGGGACGGCUAACUACGUG
rnacentral:rRNA from 1 species